rnacentral:rRNA from 1 species
UGCUCCUACGGGAGGCAGCAGUGAGGAAUAUUGGUCAAUGGUCGGGAGAAUGAACCAGCCAAGCCGCGUGAGGGAUGAAGGUACAGAGUAUCGUAAACCUCUUUUGUCAGGGAACAAAGGCGGGGACGUGUCCCCGGAUGAGUGUACCUGAAGAAAAAGCAUCGGCUAACUCCGUGCCAGCAGCCGCGGUAAUACGGAGGAUGCGAGCGUUAUCCGGAUUGAUUGGGUUUAAAGGGUGCGCAGGCGGUCUGGUAAGUCAGCGGGCAAAGCCCGGGGCUCAACCCCGGCCGGCCGUUGAAAAUGGG